rnacentral:lncRNA from 1 species
UUUUUUUUUUUUUUUUUUUUUUUUUUAACCCACAAGGCUGCUUUGACCUUGACGGUGGCUCUGUGCGUGCCAGGUGAUGGCUGGCAGAUGUGCAGGCUGUGCGCCUCCUCUGCUUCGGCUGAGCCACAGCCCACUCACCCGUGGUCCCCGUUUGCUCACUUGGCUUUCCUUCUCUUUCCUCCCCGGGGCCUCGUGGGCCGGCAGCGCCGGGGUCCAGCAGGCCAACGGCAGGGCCUCUGCACCCUCCAGCAAGGGCAGCAGCAGCGGCAGCAGCAGCAGCAGCGGGAGCAGUUCCUCCAGUGACUCUGAGAGCAGCUCGGGAUCUGACUCGGAGACUGAGAGCAGUUCCAGCGAGAGUGAGGGCAGCAAGCCCCCCCACUACUCCAGCCCCGAGCCCCAGCCUCCGUGCUGUGACACAGGCCUGCCAGCCACCGUGACCCCUCCGGACCUCCACCGCCUGGCAGCCUGCCCAGGUUUACUCUGCCUCAUCCACCCCCCGCCCAAAGUUCUCUUCAUUACAGAGCUUCCUUUGAAGUAUAGACACACGUCAUCUCUCAUUGUCCCCAAAUCUCUAUCUUGACUUCCAGAACUUUCCAAGUGUGCUAUAAACAUCCCUGACUGGAAAUAACCUGUUGAUGGGGUCUCCCUCAGGGUCAGGCCAUGGCAGUCACCUGACAGGGCAGUGACUUAACGGGGGAAAGGACUUUUGUGUAUCAGACUUGGUUAGAAUCUUACCUCUUUGCAGUUUGUCAUGGCCUGGAAGAACAGGGGCUGUAAAUAUUAAUAAAACCUUCUUAACUGUGUUUUCUUUGUGAAAAUGUAAGAAGAAAAAUUAGCAUCAGCCUACAAAUAAUAGUGAAACCUUUUAUAGCUAUGAUGAGGAUCCAUGUGGAAGAUUUAGGUGCCUCAUAUAAAAAUAUUAUAAGGUACCAAUAAAAGCCAUUGCUCUUUCUAGUUUAAAGGAGAAAGGGGGAAAUUAAAUAGUAAUUCAGAGCAUGGAUUCUUGAGAGAGGGCAGAAAGCACACUUUUUAAGUCCCCGGAUCCCUAAGCAUAGACUUUGAUUUCUAAAGAAGGAAUGAAACAUGCAUCUUCUUGAGUGUAUAAACAUUUGACAUCACUGUGGAUCAUAGCAUUUAAAUUUUUACCCACAAUCCUCUGUAUUGUUUUAGGGCCCACAUUUCUAAAUGGACUCUAAAAUGAAAUCAAAUAAAUCAACCACUUAAUAAGCAAACUGGUGGUGAGAGGGGAGCACCUUUCAGGCCUAUCAAGACUCAUGUUUCCAACUUGUGUACCUGUGUUUGUGUGUCUGUCUGUCUGUCUCUAUCUCUCUCUUUCUCUAUCUCCCUAUAUAAAGGGGAGACCCUUAGCAACGUUAACCUAUAAAAGCUGUAUUUUUUUUUCUUGGCCGCACCCACGGCAUAUAGAAAUUCCCAGGCUAGGGGUCGAGGAGCCACAGCCACUGUAGAGGCAAUGCCAAGUAGUUAUGUUGAGAGCCACACGGGAAGUCCUAAAAGCUGUAUGUUGAUAUCGCCCCGACUUGUCCCAGAAACUAAAUGAUUAUUUCUUCAUCAUCAUUUCAUUCAUUCAUGCAUUCAUUCACUCAUUCAGGUUCAUUCAACAAGUAUUUAUUGUGCCUCUGCCACAGAUGUGGAUGCUUGGCUCUGGAAGACAGCAAUGAUGUCACAGAAAAAAAGGUCCCUGUCUUCAUAGACCUGAUAUUCCACUGGGAAUAAUUUGAAAAGAACAAACAUUUUUUAAAAAGGCAGGAGUUAAAUAAAACAAAGGAGUUAACCAGACUUCUUCAGAACCAGCUUUAUGCUCUCACUUGUGGAAGACUCCAGAAUAUUUAGUAGAAAGAAUUUGGUUCCAGGGACAUUGCAAGAGCCAAGGGGGAUAGUGACGGUGGAUUAAAUUGUUAGGGUCGGUGAAUGCUACACACACACACACACACACCAGGCUCCUCUUUGUGAAACUGAAGGUUAAAUUCAGAACCAUAGGUCUUAUUUGCACACUGAAAUGUGACCCCUGCAGUUCCUGAUGAGGCUGAAACCAGCCUCAAAGAAGCACCGUUAUAAAGGGCUUUAAGCAGAUUCUUUCUAAAUGUCACUGAGAUAAUUAAAAAGACUUGAACUCCUUGGUGACAAAAAGAAGUGCUCAGCUUCCUUAGCCAAGGUCCCUAGCUGAGGAGGAGGUAGGAAGCCUGCUAAAGCCAGCCUGAAAGUUUAAGUUACCUGAGGCCACGUGUAAUUUUCAACUCCGGGUUUCUCGAUCCAGAGGGAGUGCAGAAGCGACAAGUGAUGUAGCCACUGCACAUGACUUCUUUCUGCUGAAAAGGAAUGUAUUUGCUGGAAUAAAAGUAAGGUUUCCUUGGGAGUUCUCUAGUGGCUCAGUAGGUUAAGGAUCUGGUGUUGUCACUGCAGGGGUUCGGGUUACUGCUGUGGUGCAGGUUCAGUCCCUGGCCCAGGAACUUCCACAUGCUGCAGAUGCAGCCAAAAAAAAAAAAAAGAGAGAGUAAAGUUUCUUGAAAAAAAGUAAAAAUUCUUUUAACAUUUUCCCCAAGAUUACUAUAGACACAUGCCUUUCAGAAAUAAAAUGAGGAGUUCCCAUUGUGGCGCAGCAGAAACAAUCCCAACUAGUAUCCAUGAGGACUCGGGUUCAAUCCCUGGCCUCCCUCAGUGGGUUAAGGAUCCAGCAUGGUUGUGAGCUGUGGUGUAGGUCACAGAUGCAGCUUGGAUCUGGCGUGGCUGUGGCUGUGGCGUAGGCCAGCAGCUACAGCUCCAAUUGGACUACUGGCCUGGGAACUUCCAUGUGCCACAGGUGCAGCCCUAAAAAAAAAAAAAAAGAAAAAAA